rnacentral:rRNA from 1 species
UACGGAGGGCGCAAGCGUUGUUCGGAAUCAUUGGGCGUAAAGCGCGUGUAGGCGGCCUGGCAAGUCGGGUGUGAAAGCCCGGGGCUCAACCCCGGAACUGCAUUCGAUACUGCCUCGCUAGAGUCCCGGAGAGGAAGGCGGAAUUCCCGGUGUAGAGGUGAAAUUCGUAGAUAUCGGGAGGAACACCAGCGGCGAAGGCGGCCUUCUGGACGGUGACUGACGCUGAGACGCGAAAGCGUGGGGAGCAAACAGG